UACGUAGGUGACAAGCGUUGUCCGGAUUUACUGGGCGUAAAGAGCGCGCAGGCGGUCGAUCAAGUCGAGUGUGAAAGCCCCCGGCUCAACUGGGGAGGGUCAUUCGAAACUGGUCGACUCGAAGGCAGGAGAGGGUAGUGGAAUUCCCGGCGUAGUGGUGAAAUGCGUAGAUAUCGGGAGGAACACCAGUGGCGAAGGCGACUACCUGGCCUGUUCUUGACGCUGAGGCGCGAAAGCCAGGGGAGCAAACGGG
rnacentral:rRNA from 1 species